rnacentral:tRNA from 1 species
AUUUAUAUAAUAUAAAAAGUAUAUUUAACUUCCAAUUAAAAAGUCUAAAUUUUAGUAUAAAUA